AGGAAGUGCCCUUAGGAUUUGGGAACAGGAAGUUACUGGAAGCCAGCCCAAGAUGGACCCUGUUGGAGAAGCAGCUCUGAUGCACCAACUGAUAUCGUGCUGGAAAAAUAACACACUGCAAUGGAUCAAAGGACCAAAGGAAAGAUGAGAAGUUCCCUGAGAACUGAGCCCCGGGGCUGCUGCCCCUGAGGAGCAG